UAAAACAAACAAACAAAAACCAAUAUACCCAUCUUCACUCCCUGAUGACUAAAUGACUUCCAUGCUUUGCUGGAGUUGGGCGAUAGAACGGUAGUGACUGUGCUCUGUUUAUUCCGGUGCAAAGAUUCACAUUCAUUAGAGCUGGAAAUGGCCGUAGGCCACCCUUGCCCCAGCAGGAGCCGGGAACAGCACUCAGAAUGAAACUGGGGAAACAAAGCCACUGCUAACAAGCAAAAUGGUGUCCCUCCCACAACGCACUGGAGAAAGAAGCCAGACAACAAAGCUGGGAACGGAGGAAACUGGCAAGUGAAAUAAACCAGGCAAGGACCCAGCAAACCGACAGCGGGAUGAAAGUGAAAGCCAAAUGGAGGAGGGGUUUCUUUGGUCUGACGCAGAAGAAGGAAGGCAAAUAACUCUGGGAAAG